GUGGAUUAGAUACCCUGGUAGUCCACGCCCUAAACGGUGCACACUAGGUCUUGGCGGAUUCGACCCCACCAGGGCCCAAGCUAACGCGUUAAGUGUGCCGCCUGAGGACUACGGUCGCAAGACUAAAACUCAAAGGAAUUGACGGGGGCCCGCACAAGCGGUGGAGUAUGUGGCUCAAUUCGAUGCAACGCGAAGAACCUUACCUAGCCUUGACAUGCAUUAGACAGGCGCUGAAAGGCGCUCUCCCUUCGGGGCUGGUGCACAGGUGCUGCACGGCUGUCGUCAGCU
rnacentral:rRNA from 1 species